ACAUUUCUAACAACUUUUAUUGAUCUCACUGUUAGAGCAUCUGUGUAUUAUCCUCUGAUAACUUUUGUUACAAAACUAUUUGUUCCAUUCAAAACUCGCUACUGCAACAUAAACAACUCACCCAGCUGUGAUUUCAACGGAAGGAUCCAAGGCCUGCAACACACCAGGCAACUUGAGCCAAUCUCAAAGCCUCCAAUUUCCAUAUGCCAGUUUUGAGGAUUGCAGCAUGGCAGCGCUUGUGUAUUGUCCUCUGGUGACUUUCAUUACAAAAGUGUCUGUACCAUUCAAAAGUCACUGCUCCAACAUAAACAACUCACC